AUGGGUGCGCCGAAGCAGAAGUGGACGUCGGAGGAGGAGGAGGCGCUGCGGCGCGGCGUGCUCAAGCACGGCGCUGGCAAGUGGCGCACCAUCCAGAAGGAUCCCGAGUUCAGCCCCGUCCUCUCCUCUCGCUCCAACAUCGACCUCAAGGACAAAUGGAGGAAUUUGAGUUUUAGUGCAAGUGGACUGGGUUCAAGGGAUAAACAAAGGGUUCCAAGGCCGAAAGCACCUUCGUCCUCCCCAUCACCUAGCCCGCAGCUUCUGCUUCUCUCAGCCCCGAAUAAUGUUGCCGAGGCUUCUCCACCAGAAGAUUGUGAAAAAAGCCCACAGGAUGACAAGACUCCGAGUCCAAAGUUGUACAGUUCCAUGAUCCUGGAAGCUCUCGGCGAACUGAAAGAGCCAAAUGGUUCAGAAGUUGCUACAAUUUGCAAUUUCAUAGAGCAAAGGCAUGAGGUGCAACCAAAUUUUAGAAGGUUGCUUUGUGCCAAAUUACGAAGGCUUAUAGGCGUGAACAAAGUUGAGAAGAUUGAUAAGUCCUAUAAGCUGACGGAUUCAUAUGCAAAAAGGGCUCUGGCUCCAAUGAAAGAUCCAUCUCUAAAGAAGAAGGAUUCAGCCAAGUCAUCCAAGGCAGCAAAGGGUCUAGGCCAGUCGAGUCCUGCACUGGACGCAGCUGAAGCUGCAGCGAUGAAAGUAGCGGACGCGGAGGCCAAAUCGCACCUCGCAAACGAGCACAUGAUGGAGGUUGAAAGGAUCGGCAAGAUGGCCGAGGAGACCGAGUCUCUCCUCGAGCUCGCCUCAGAGCUCUACGAGCGAUGUUCAAGAGGAGAGGCGCUCACAAUACUGCAAGUGGCGCACAGGGAGUUUUGA
rnacentral:rRNA from 1 species